rnacentral:rRNA from 1 species
UACGUAGGGUGCAAGCGUUGUCCGGAAUUAUUGGGCGUAAAGAGCUCGUAGGCGGUUUGUUGCGUCGGCUGUGAAAUCCCGAGGCUCAACCUCGGGUCUGCAGUCGAUACGAGCAAACUAGAGUGUUGCAGGGGAGACUGGAAUUCCUGGUGUAGCGGUGAAAUGCGCAGAUAUCAGGAGGAACACCGAUGGCGAAGGCAGGUCUCUGGGCAUUAACUGACGCUGAGGGGCGAAAAGCAUGGGGGAGCGAACAGG